UAAAAUCUUUGGUUUCUUGUUCAUAUAAUAAGGGACGAGUUGGUGAAGCCAUCGUUCGAAUGACUUUUUUACUCUAUAAGACACUUUUAGUCUUAUGUUUGACACUUUUAGACACUUCAUGCUGGCUAGACACAUUAUGUCUGUCUAAUGUCCUUCAUACCCUCAAUUUUGAUCAGACCAAACUAACCUAACCAGAAACAACUAACCAUGAUUAUAUUCUCUCCUCUCUACUCUCUACACUCUCCUCUCUCCUCUAUCCUCUCUCCUCUCACCUUCAAAACGUAGAUCUACUUUCCCUUUCACAAAUUCCCAACCCUAAUUCUAUAUCUCUUUCCAAUUCUGAUUUCAAAUCUUAAUCUACUUUUAUUUUUCCAAAUCCCCUAAUUCUAAUUUCAAACUCUCUUCUUCUUCCUAACUCAACCUUUCUCUGGAAAAUUUUUUUUUUCUCUGUUUUUUUUUACUUUCUCAAUAAUAAUAUCACAAACUUCAUAAAUUCAUAGGUCUUUCUCUCGGUAAUUUUUAAGAGCUUGUUUCUUUGACCAAACCAACUCUACCUUCCAAUCUAUCUCUGAGCUCGAUCCCUUGCGCUCACUACGACAUAGAAACGUCAAGUUAGCACCAGUGAAAAGGAGAUGUGGAGGAGCAAGGGGAAGAAGAAGACAAGAAAGUUGCGUUUGAAUGUGUGACGACGACACCUCUCUACUUCAGCGGAGGACGACUGAACCUGUGCGACGACAAACGCAGAGUAGGGCUGAAAUUAGAGAAGUUCAUGAAGCUGAUGAUGUCAACGAGUUUGAUCUGCUUCUAGUUGGUGAUUUGGGUCAUGCUAGAAAGUGAGAGCAACAAUGGUGAAUUUUCAGUUUUUUUUUAAAUUUGUGGUCCCUCACGUUUUGGUUAUUCACGCUUUCACCCAAUUUUUUUAAAAUGUGCAAAACAUUUUCUUGAUUUAGAUGAGAUAAACACAUCCACAUCCGCACCUCA